CUGGCAGCGGCGCCAGCGGGAAGGCAAAAAAAGCGAGACCCUUCCUAGCUCCGCCGCAAGCGGGCAGAGGCACCUUGCCCCGCCCCUAAAAAGCUGGAAGGUGGAGAGAGGUUAGCCGUGCAUCGGGAGAGACCGAAGGUGAUGCUGCGAGGCUCCUCGUCUCAGUUUACCACACAAAGGUCUUUUUUCGUUUCGGAAUUGCACGCUAUGUUAUAGAAUAAUGGCCAAGGUGAUCACAAUGCUUCAAACCCUCAGAAAUCAUUGGAAGAAGACUACAGUUGGGAUCUGCCUGGUUACAUGGGGAGGAAACUGGCUUUAUGGAAAACAUUGUGAUAACCUGCUAAGGAGAGCUGCAUGCCAAGAAGCCCAGGUAUGGGGCAACCAAAUUAUUCCUUCCAAUAUGCAGAUAAGGAAAGCAACAGUAUUUCUCAACCCUGCAGCUUGUAAAGGCAAAGCCAGGACUCUUUUUGAAAAGAAUGCAGCCCCAAUUCUCCACUUAUCUGGUCUGGAUGUGACUGUGGUGAAGACAGAUUAUGAAGGGCAAGCAAAGAAGUUGUUGGAACUGAUGGAAAACACCGACAUGAUCAUCAUUGCAGGGGGAGAUGGAACAGUGCAAGAGGUUAUAACUGGGCUUCUCCGAAGAGCAGAUGAGGCAUCUUUCAGUAAAAUUCCCAUUGGAUUCAUUCCUCUUGGAAAGACCAGCACUUUAAGUCACACACUUUAUACUAAGAACGAUAACCAAGUCCAGUGUAUCAUUGAUGCCACGUUGUCCAUACUGAGAGGAGAGACAGUUCAACUUGAUGUAUUGCAGAUUAAGGGGAACAAAGAACAGCCAGUAUUUGCUGUCAAUGGCUUACGGUGGGGCUCUUACAGAGAUGCAGGAGCAAAAGUCAGCAAAUACUGGUAUCUUGGACCUCUGAAAAUCCAGGCAGCCCAUUUUUUUAACACAUUGAAGGAAUGGCCUCAGAAACAUCUAGCUUCCCUUACCUAUUUGGGCCCUAUUCCAAGGCCACCUGAGGAGCCAGAGCAGAAGAUAUCUCGACCUCCUUUAUACAUUAGGCUUUAUAAGAGGCUUGCAUAUUAUUGGACACCCACCCCCAAAGAAAUCCCAAAGGAAGAGACUCCAGAGGCCUGGAAUGAAAUUCCACUGUCUGCCCUUGAAUUCUCUGUCACUACUCAAAACAGGAAUCUCGACCUGAAACGUGAAGAAGACUUCAUGAAUAUUUGUAUUGAAUCGGAUGCAAUCAGUAGGGGAGACUACGUAAAAAAAGGAAGCCAAAAGAUGAAGGAUCCCCACUUGUGUCCUGAAGGAAGUCAAUGUCUUCAGGCUAGCAAGUGUGUUUUGCAGCUUCCAGAGGAUACAGAAGGCUCUUUAGCUAUAGACAAUGAAGAGCAUGAAGCAAUGACAGUGGAGGUGAAGCUGUUGCCCAGGAAACUCCAUUUCUUCUGCGAUGCCAGGAGAAAAGUAGAAAUGCUUCAAGGUAUAUCAUAAUCAAAGCAGCUGGUUCAAGGUGUAUUGUAAUCAAAGGGUUGCCUUGGAUGACUGCGCAAACUGUUUAACGAACUGCAUCUGAAGACUGCACAGCUUUCCUUCAGUUACGAUGAAAGCCUUCCUUUUUCAAACUAUGUAAGUCAGAAAUUGAGGAAGAAGAACUGAGGUGGAAACAUUUCGUUUUUCUUUUCAUCUGGUUCCAGUUAUUUCACAAAAAUACCUCUGUGGCAACUGUUCCCAAAUACCUCUGUGGCAACUGUUUUCCAGUUAAAACACUUUUGGUAUAAACUUCCAUUUGUACACCUAGUACAUAUGUACUUCAGAUCAUUGAAUAUGCUCCUCCUUUCCCUCAUAUUGCUUCCUUUCCCAUUUAAUAGUUGAGAUAUGGGCAGCCCAUCGGUGUUAUGCUUAUGUUUAGAAAAGUGAUUAAAAAUUAGAGAGAUGUCUCAGAGGAAAGUAUUUAAAAUGUAAUCACUAAUAACAGAUCAGUGAACCAUUAGACCAGAAUCCUGCAGCUUGACUGGCAGCCUGCCUCUGGCACAUAUUAUUCUACUCUUAUUCUACAAAAGGAAGGAUGCGAAAAAGACCAAAUUUGGAACUUCUUGCAUGCAAAUGACCCAUAAUGAACAUUGGAUUACCUGAAUGUUCCUUUUCUUCUGUGGCGUAGAGAGUCCAGAUAGAUUGGGACAUACCAAAGCCGGCCUGUCCCAGGGAGAGCAAGAGUCUAGUCCUACUCACAUUAGCGCUUGUGCUUCUUCUGCCAAAAGCAGCAUCAGCUGAUGCAAAGGCAUCCAGGCAGUAAUGCCGAAUGAAAGGAGACUGUGAAAACCAUGUGGCCGUUCUGCAGAUCUCUUCAAUGGGCGCAUGAGUAGCCCAUGCCGCCGUAGUUGCUGCACUUCUGGUUGAGUGAGCCAUCACUCCACGAGGCUCCGGAAGAGCCCUGCUCAGAUAAGCCUUGGCAAUGUAGGCCCGAAUCCAUCUGCCCACAGUCUUUGGAGACACCUUUAACCUUAACUUGCUGGGUUGUAAGGACACAAACAGUGCCUCCGACUUGCGGAUAGGAUGUGUCCGCUGGAUGUAAAUCCUUAAGGCUCUGCGUACAUCCGGAGUAUGCCACACCCUCUCCAAAUUAUAGGAAGGAUUUGGACAAAUAUUAGGGAGAACGAGGCUCCUGAGCCCUGUGGAAUCUAGAAUUAAUUUUUGGGAUGAAAGUUGGGUCUAACUGUAACACUACUCUUAUCAGGAUGGAAAAUACACAAAUCCUCCCUAACUGAAAGGGCAGCGAUCUCUGAUAUCCUCCUAGCCCAUGUGAUGCUACAAGAAAAGCAACCUUGAGUGAUAGAUGGUGUAAAUUAAUGGAUCUAAGUGGUUCAAAUGGCUCAGUCAUUAACGCCUUAAGAUCUCUUUGGGGAGAUCCCAAGUAGGGAAUCUAUGAACCACCA